GAAGCUAAGCAGGUGUGAGCCUGGUCAGUACCUGGAUGGGAGACCUCCUGGGAAAAACUAAGGUUGCUGCUGGAA
rnacentral:rRNA from 1 species